rnacentral:rRNA from 1 species
GCCUAUAUGAAGUCGGAAUUGCUAGUAAUCGCAGAUCAGCAUGCUGCGGUGAAUACGUUCCCGGGCCUUGUACACACCGCCCGCCACACCAUGAGAGUCGAUAACACCCGAAGCCUGUAGUCUAACCAUAAGGGGGACGCAGUCGAAGGUGGGAUUGAUAAUUAGGGUGAAGUCGUAACAAGGUAAC